CCAAUCUGCAAACAAGCUACGGGAGGGAUGGUUGGUGUGUAGAGUUCCCCAAAAGCUUGCCAGCAGAAUGGGUUGUUUAGGUGGUAGUGGGGUAUUUGCACAGGUCUAAGUUGUACUCCAGUAAGUGUGAUCCCUGAACAAGGUUCUUUUGUCACAAUAAAACUGGUCUAUCAUAAUAGGUGUUUGAACUUCGGAGACUUGUAUGUUUGAGAAUCUUACGUCUUGAACUAGCCCUAUACCACCCUGCAAGGAGAAUUCAAUUUGUUUAGCUCAGUGUAUUCCAUCAGUGUUGAGACUGUUCUCAGGGGAGGAUAUUGUCAAGUCGUGAACCAGCACACCCUGACAAUUGUCAAACUUGAGAUGGCACUGUGAGCUGUUGACAAUAGUGAUACCAGCCACUACAACGUUGAAACUACCAUAGAACCUCAAUGCCUGCAUCAGAGUUUAACCUGCGGCAUCCUCUCAAGCUCCUGAUUGUACUGCUGGAAUGUAUCAAGUGGUCCAAGACAUCACGUGUAAUUAGAGCAAGAGUCUGUCCAAUUUGGCAGCUAAUCCAAAGAAGAUGUUUUUUUGGAAGAUAAUCCAAAGAGGACGCAGAAGGCCGCCUUACAGAAUACGGAUGCACGGAAGAGUGCGCAAUACAGAAAUCUAUAUGGAGGUUGUACGGUACAGGUUUGGCCACGGACGGAAGGUUAGUGAAAUCUACGAAUCAUACGAAUAAGCACAAUCGCCGUCUUACACAAAUUGCAACUAACUUGCUUUGAAGAGUUUAAUCAUUUACCCAGAUUAACACGGCACGCACCUAACUCGAGUCAAAUGACGGCUGACCAGGCAUCUUGUUUGUGUUGUGCUCGUGUUGAUGAUACAUCUUGAGACAGGUCAUUCCUGCCUUUUAUUUUCGGCGUUUUAUGCGGCUCUGCAAUGGCUGUGCAUGCAGUGAAGUUAUGUAUUUGUGUGCCCACUCCUCGGUUCCAAAAGCCAAAGGCGGUCAUGUGAUCACUGACCGGGCGAGCUAGCAGCUAAGCCAUCUGGGCCGUUCCGGAAGCAUACGGUCAUACUGCUCAGGCGAGUGUGCGACACGUCAAGCACGACCAAGGCCUUACUGUUUGGAGCUCACGCACGUCAAUCUUUACAAUCCUUGCAUGUCUCCGGAACCUCAGCUUAGAACUGCCGUUUCACAGCGUUACACAGGCAAUUGCACGUCGUAGGCUUGUAGCAAGUCUAUAUCUUAUUCAGUAGCGGCCACGAAAUCGGUACUAAUCAGUGCCGCGGCCGUGCGUAAAUCUACCUAGUGUAACAGUGAUGUUCCGGAUCCGUUCUUUGAGAUUAGGGCUCCGUACGUGCGUGGCACACUCGGAAGGAAGACUUGGAAGGAAAAAACAACGGGCAGGGAAUUGGCAUGAUUCGCGGCUACGAAUAACCGAGAUGACGGGGACGAAUCUACGUGUGGCCAGGAACGACCGCAGGCAACGUAGAUACGUGCACAGACCUCCGUCGGUCCCGGCAGUGAUUUUGCCCGAAACGAGCAACCACUUCCCCGGUUGAGAGAAAGACGAGGACGCGGACUGGGGUGUGGGUGCGUGGUGCCCUGGCGCUUCCGCGGCGCGCACAUGCGCCUCCGCCCUCGCUCACAUGGGCAACGGUCACGGGCGGAAGCGCAGCGUACGUGAUGCUUUUGUCCGCGCCUCAGCCGGGGGGCCAGCGAGCGAACUGCCGCAUCCCUGCCUGCACGCGGACGACGGCGUCCCCAUCGCCGAUUCUCCCGUGCACUCCUUGUCCAAUCAUUCAUCUAUCAAUAAUCUCCGCCCUGCCGCUCAUGGCCGCUCGGUCGGUGACUUCCAUCAGCCGUGACCCGUAGGACAAUGAGCGGGCCGGGUCAGGCGACGCAGAUCGAAAAGCGCAUGCAUGGUGGUGGCCUCACGUUUCCCAGCCCUCUUUAGAUAGAGCACGCCGCAGGGAAAAUUAUCUUGGAAUGAAAUCCACAUAGAGCGGCCAAUAAAGUGGGCUCUGAAUCCAACUCGCCUGCUCAUGUUCCACAUGCCACGCUGGGAAACCAUCACCGCCCCCUGCAUCCGACGCUGCCGUACUGCGCUGUCGCGGAGACACAGAGGUUGGCUAACACGUAGGAGGAGCAUAUAUGUACAUGUGGCUAGCUACCACGUCUGGCUUUUCUUCAUCUUCUGCCGUGUCUGGUGUGUCCUGGUCAACACUCAAGACAGCAGCAUUGAUAAUCUCAUGUCGUGAUCGUGCUGUCAUCGGUAAUAUCAACGUGCUACUUCAAUUCAAUGCGGUUGAUAUAAACAUGGCGUAUACAACGCCACGCCCUGCGCUGCGAGGGACAAACUGCUUCCUCCUGUACACGUAGUAUGCAGUAGUAGCAUGGUAGCAUGAUUUUAAAUAACACGCUAUUUCCUCGCUACAGCUCGCUGUAACAUAUACGAAGAACCGACGUUACGUUUAAGCAAUUUUUAACACUAUGCCGCUAUUCUCGUUAUUAGCACGCUAAAUGGCGCUAAACGAUAUUUGCUAUAGCAUCGCUUAAUAAUUUAGCGUCCAAAAUACAAAUAGUACCAUGCCGGCCUAAAUAUCAGGUUCAAAAUCUCUCGUAUUAGUCUCUCAGACCUAAAACCAUGAGGACGGAGGCGACAGAUCCUACAGCUCGUGACCGGCAGCGGGUUGACUGAUGAGGGGAGGAUAUCGACUACCCCUGCUAUUUCACCAACUCCAUAUAUUCUGAGGUUUGAAUCUUUUUGCGUUGAAGUUUCCGCUAAAGAGGAGGUGAAGCCCAAUUUCAGAACACCACCGAUUUUGAAGUGUACUCCGAUUUAGAGUUUGUUUUUCGUUUGAUGGUUUUUGGGCCUGUCCAAAACCACUUUGAGUCAGCCUUUUGGGCCGUAGUUGUGGUGUGGGGCCUGUCCCACCCGAUUAGGGUUAGAAUCGUCCUAUAAAGGGUUUUUGGUAGCCGUUGUUGUAAGGAGGAGUUGAAUUUUUGAGAUUAUGAAUGUACCAGAAAAGUCCAA